rfam:Aeromonas schubertii strain ATCC 43700 Scaffold7, whole genome shotgun sequence.
GCCGUGGUGGUGAAAUUGGUAGACACGCUAUCUUGAGGGGGUAGUGCCCUAGGGUGUGCGGGUUCGAGUCCCGCCCACGGCA